GGCUACCACACACUGACUGUGUGACCCUGGUCAAGUUAGUCACUCUCUCUGAUACUAAAGAUAAGAAAAUUGAACAUCAGAAUGGCCCUAAGAUAUGCAGCUAAUAAGAGAGCCAGGAUUCCAAAGCAGGUCUUCCUGAUCUCAAGGUCUAUAUUCAUAACCAUGUUGCUCUCCAACCCUUCAACCUGACACAAUGGGGUUCAAAAGAUGGAGGACCCUUAAAAAAAAACAACAACAAGGAUUCAGUCAUCAGGCCACUAGACAAUCAGUUUCAAAGACCUUUUUCUUCCCAUUCCAGGAGGCUCUAUGUAAAACAGCUAAAGAGUAGUUGAGAUAAAAAGCAAAGUGGGAAGGAGUCAACUUGCAGGUCACUGGGGUUGUGCCACCCAAGCAGGUCAGACUUGAGCUGCACAUCAGCCAUUUCACAUAGGUCUAUCUGCUAAAUACUUUGCUCAGCAUAGUGAGUGUCAGUUAAAACCACAGAGGGGCUUUCCACUUAGCUUCAGGCACACCCUGGGAACUACAGCUUUUGUGGACUUCACAAAUUGAGAACUAGUCUUGACAAUGAGCAUCAUUUUCACUAAAACUGAUCGCUGGCAUGUGUACCUGCAUACAGAAAAUAGGCUUAAUAUAAAUAACCAACCACAACACCAUGUGGAGAUGCACAGGCUUGUGAAAGCUUCCAGGUGCCCUUUAAAAUACUGGUGACUUACUGAAAAACACCACUGAGAGUGACUGAUUGGUAGAAAAAUCCUUGAAAAGAAUUAAUGGGCCUAUCUGUGGCAUCAGGAAAGAAAAUAGGAGCUUACUUAUCAAAGAGGAAUAGUUUAUCUACCUGGUAUUUCUAAUCCUAACUCUGGCCCAUUGAGAGGCCAUUCAAGCAUUCAGUCUCUGCUGAGGAAUGUGGCGGGUGCCGGAGGGGUUGGAGGGGGGAGUGCGGAAUGAACAGGCAGAUACGGCUCCUACAUCUACAAAGACCUGUACCUCCAGGCAUGAAGUCUGUUCUAGGUGUGGGGAUACCUGGUGAAGACAAGAAUGUUCUCUUCUUCAAGGUGGAGUAGACAGAGAACAACCACGUGCAUGCUAACAUUCUGAGAAAACAGGCCCUUGUUGUUAAGAAGCAUCAGGGAGAUCAGAUGCCUGAAACAAGUGGCCACAGGAGGGAUGAAGAGAUACACUGGGACCCAUCGCACAGGGAGGAAAGGGCCAUGUUGUAGAGCCAUCUUGCUGGCCCUGCACCCCAGGGUGUAGGAGAAGAUCUAGAUAUGCCCAGUGUACAGAAACUGGAACCUACCAUCUAAAUUUGACUGCCCCUCAGAUGUCUCUGGUUCUCAGCUUCCUGACCUGCAAAUGUGCAAGACUACACCAAUCUGCAGUCUCUUCUGGCUCUGAUUUCUGAAAAUCAAGUAUUUUCAAAUCCUAGGAACAUUAUUCUUCUCUCUUAGCAUGCUAGAUUUCCUUUUAAAUGAAAGAAAUUUUAAUUUAAAAAAAAAGUAACACAAAUAGCAUCAACAUGGAAAUAUAUUUGGGAAAGUAUCUGAUAUUCAAGAUUUCCACGCAAUUAAAAAGAUAGGCCAUAGUGUCAGGCUCAGAUUCUAAUUCCAGCCAUUUCGGUGUCCCUAUUUUGCAUCCUCUGACCUCCAAGAGAUAUUCUGAAAAGUCUACCUUGAAUUUAGUAUUCAAAGACUUCAUCAAUCUAAGAAGACAUGCAUUAAUAAUGCCUUUUUGGAGAUGAAGAAAUUAAGUCAGAAAGUAGGGAUCCAGGGCCAAAAAACUAGUAAAUGGAAAAAUCAGGAUUUUAACCCUGGAAAGCUUAACUCCAAAGUCUGUGCUUUCUGCCAUGUCUGACUGCUUCUCCAACUAAAAAACAUGUUUUAUUCUACUUUUUGUCACGUCCCAGUAUGGCGCAUGCUAAGCUUACUAUAGUUGCUUCAUGUUCCUAGUUUCUGAGAACAGAAGUUUGAAGGGAAUACAAGUGGUAAGCCAUUGGUGACUUCUCCACUUCAAUUAUGAGUUUAGACCCAAUUGUUUAUUCAUCAAAACAAACCUCAGAGCUGCCAACCACAGAUCUGGUCAUUGUGGGUUUUGUUUUGUUUUAUUUUUUAAUAAGGAGAGAAAGACCUAAUUUGGCAGAGGAGACCAAGAAGCCCGGGCUAUACAUUUGCAUAAAGAUGAUUACUAAAACUGAAGAAUUGCUUCUCAUAAAAAAAACUGAUGGAGUUAAAAAAAAAUCCAAAUGAAUUAAACCAGCAGUUCCUACCCUGUGAUUUGUAGAAAACUGUUUCUGAGAGAUGCUGGAAAGUAUUCUGGAGAAAACAAUUAAUUUGUUUACCAUUUGUAAAAUGGUAAAUUUGGAAAAUACUACAUUCUAACGAUAUCUUUUUCCUGGAGAUACUGAAUGCACGUCAGGCUAUCAAAGACUGGAAUGUUUUAAAGAAACAUGUUUAACUCUAUACUCCAACAAUUCCCAACAAAGAUAAAGUAAAUAAUUAAAUAACUAAUUACAAUCAGAAUACCUAGUUUUGUUUUUAUUUUUGCACACCUGCAGAACAAUGUUUUUUGGAACACCAAUAUAGAACACUAAAUUUUUAAAAAUGGGCCAGGCGUGAUGGCUCACGCCUAUAAUCUCAGCUCUCUGGGAGGCUGAGGUAGGUGGAUCACUUGAGGUCAGGAGUUCAAGACCAGCCUGGCCAACAUAGUGAAACCGCAUCUCUACUAAAAAUACAAAAAUUAGCCCGAUGUGGUGAUGGGCACUUGUAAUCCCAGCUAGUCGGGAGGCUGAGGCAAGAGAAGUGCUUGAACCUGGGGGGAAGAGGUUGAAGUGAGAUGAGGUAGAGCCACUGCUCUCCAGCCUGGGCGAUAGAGUGAGACUCUGUCUUAAAAUAAAUAAAUAAAUACAUAAAUAAUAAAUUAAUUUUAAAAAACUGAACAAAGUUAGGCCUCAAAAAAAUAUACUAUGUACAUCAGCUAAAGAGGUCUGACAAUUUUCUGAUGUCAACAACAGAUACUAUCAGCAAAAAGAUAAAUAAUUGUAAUCAAUUUUUAUAGAACAAACAAAACCAAGACAAAAGAACUAAGAGGGAAAAAUACAACAAAAAUCAUGCAUUAGACAUAUCGAAGUUGACAUCUCUAAUACAUACUUAGGAUGUAGAAUUCUUAUGUUGCUGCUAUAAAGACCCAGAAGAACAGAGGGACAAAAAACAUUAACACAAGAAACCGAAAAUAGCAAACAUAUGCAAGUAAUUUCAAUUGCACUGAUAAGUUUAAAAUUCCACAUGGAACAAUAAUAAAAUGCAUUUUUUUAUCCUUCUAAAGCUGUAAGAAAUAGAAAAAAGAAAUUUGGUGAAUGGAGAGGCUUUGGAGAAAUGGCCACAAACCAUACAGAAGACAAAUUAUAUUUCAAGUCACAAAACCACCCUUACAUUUGACAUAGUAAAUCCAGUCCUGAUAAUUCCUUUCAAAACAACUGUUGCCAUUUCCUCAAUAAUAAAGGAUGUGUAUUAUC